rnacentral:tRNA from 1 species
GCGUCCUUAGCUCAGCUGGAUAAAGAACCUGGCUAGGAACCAGGGGAUGGGAGGUUAAAAUCCUCCAGGACGCGCCA